CAAGACUCUGAUUCUUGUCAUAGAGCUCACAGACUUCCUCACUUACCGGCCUUUUUCCUUCCUUUUUUUUUUUUUUUUUUUUAAAUUUCUUCCCUCUUUUUCUGCUCUCUCCUCUCUCAGUUUCUCCUUUCCUGUCUGCCUCGUUUUUUUUUCUCCUGGUCUUCUUUUUUUUCCUGCUCUGCACCUGGAUUGUAUCUUCACCAAACAAUCGGGCACUUUGAGAACUAACUGGAGGCAGUCUUGUAGGGAAGAGCUGUAUGGAAUUAUCUGCUUUUAUGGUGAACUUGGCAUUUGUGAAUGGGUAUCUUGUUCACGAAAUUAAUUGCUAGCAAAAACAAGAAAAAGAACACAGGAGUAAAACGUGGAUUUUUCUGAAUACGCAUUGUGAUGACCAGCAAUUACCUUACCGACUGAUAUCCAGAGGAGAAUAAUUUGGAAGACUGUUGUGGCUAAAGCUGCGACCCACGUGCAGGGGAGUCGAAGGUCUGGAAGCAGAGACCAUCCUUUUAUUGCAAUGCAGCCAGCUUUCGAAAUGCAGGCAAUUACACACUUCCCUUAACCUUAAGUUGAAGAUGUGUCCU
rnacentral:lncRNA from 1 species